UAGAUUGAAGCCAGUUGUUAGGGUAUUUAGCUGUUAACUAAAAUUUCGUGGGAUGGAAGCCCACCAAUCUAG
rnacentral:tRNA from 7 species